GGCUUAGAGUUUGAUCAUGGCUCAGGAUGAACGCUGGCGGCGUGCCUGACACAUGCAAGUCGAACGGAGUUAUUCGAGGAAGUUUUCGGAUGGAAUCAAAUAACUUAGUGGCGGACGGGUGAGUAACGCGUGGGAAACCUGCCCUGUACCGGGGGAUAACACUUAGAAAUAGGUGCUAAUACCGCAUAAGCGCACGGGACCGCAUGGUCCAGUGUGAAAAACUCCGGUGGUACAGGAUGGUCCCGCGUCUGAUUAGCCAGUUGGCGGGGUAACGGCCCACCAAAGCGACGAUCAGUAGCCGGCCUGAGAGGGUGGACGGCCACAUUGGGACUGAGACGCGGCCCAAACUCCUGCGGGAGGCAGCAGUGGGGAAUAUUGCACAAUGGGGGAAACCCUGACGCAGCGACGCCGCGUGAGUGAAGAAGUAUUUCGGUAUGUAAAGCUCUAUCAGCAGGGAAGAAGAUGACGGUACCUGAGUAAGAAGCCCCGGCUAACUACGUGCCAGCAGCCGCGGUAAUACGUAGGGGGCAAGCGUUAUCCGGAUUUACUGGGUGUAAAGGGAGCGUAGACGGUGAAGCAAGUCUGGAGUGAAAACCCGGGGCUUAACCCCGGGAUUGCUUUGGAAACUGUUUAACUGGAGUGCAGGAGAGGUAAGCG
rnacentral:rRNA from 1 species